UGUAAAAAAAUGUAUGAUGCAUUUUGAAUUUUGAUUUCUUUAGUCUCAGUUUAAUUCUGAGUUUUACAA
rnacentral:tRNA from 2 species